AAUCCUUUGUUUCUGGGUAUUUCAUAUUUACCUGCAGCCAAGAAUUUAGCUUGAAGACGCAUCCAUCGAGCAAGAAAAAGUCACACUAACAUCUAUGGGAACUGCAAUGACAAGAGUAUGUAAUGCCAAGGUGUAUCUUGCGCAAGUAAAGAAGAGGAAGCAUGCAUGUAGAUCUCUAUCCAAAUUUUCCUGUAGAUAAACAACUUGGGGAAUGCUAGCAACAAUAAUUGGAGAACAAGUAGAAUGGCUAUAUGCUAUUUGACUGUCUACCCAAAGAAACUUGGGAAGACUUUUACCAAUAGAUUUGUGAUAAUUAAACCACUUCAAAAUCACCAUGGUUGUGGGAUA